GAGCGCCGUAGCAAUACGGAGCGGCAGACGGGAGAGUAACACGUGGGAACGUGCCCUUUGGUUCGGAACAACCCAGGGAAACUUGGGCUAAUACCGGAUAAGCCCUUACGGGGAAAGAUUUAUCGCCGAAGGAUCGGCCCGCGUCUGAUUAGCUAGUUGGUGGGGUAAUGGCCCACCAAGGCGGCGAUCAGUAGCUGGUCUGAGAGGAUGAUCAGCCUCACUGGGACUGAGACACGGCCCAGACUCCUACGGGAGGCAGCAGUGGGGAAUAUUGGACAAUGGGCGCAAGCCUGAUCCAGCAAUGCCGCGUGUGUGAAGAAGGCCUUCGGGUUGUAAAGCACUUUUAUCAGGAGCGAAAUACUACCGGCUAAUACNCCGGUGGGGCUGACGGUA
rnacentral:rRNA from 1 species